rnacentral:rRNA from 1 species
CUACGAGAGGCUGCAGUGAGGAAUAUUGCAUAAUGGGGGGAACCCUGAUGCAGCAACGCCGCGUGGAGGAUGACGCAUUUCGGUGUGUAAACUCCUUUUAUAUGUCAAGAAAAUGACGGUAGCAUAUGAAUAAGCACCGGCUAACUCCGUGCCAGCAGCCGCAGUAAUACGGAGGGUGCAAGCGUUACUCGGAAUCACUGGGCGUAAAGGACGCGUAGGCGGGUUGGAAAGUCAGGUGUGAAAUCCUACAGCUUAACUGUAGAACUGCACUUGAAACUUCUAAUCUAGAGUAUGGGAGGGGGAGAUGGAAUUAGUGGUGUAGGGGUAAAAUCCGUAGAUAUCACUAGGAAUACCUAAAGCGAAGGCGAUCUCCUGGAACAUUACUGACGCUAAGGCGUGAAAGCGUGGGGAGCAAACAGGAUUAGAUACCCGGGUAGUC